rnacentral:rRNA from 1 species
GACGAACCGUGCGAACGUUAUUCGGAAUCACUGGGCUUAAAGCGCGUGUAGGCGGGAGGGCACGUCCGUUGCUGAAAUCCCCCGGCUCAACCGGGGAACGGGCGCGGAUACGACUCUCCUUGAGGGGCGUAGGGGGACCUGGAACUUCCGGUGGAGCGGUGAAAUGCGUUGAGAUCGGAAGGAACGCCCGUGGCGAAAGCGAGGUCCUGGACGCCUACUGACGCUGAGGAGCGAAAGCGUGGGAGCGAACAGGAUAGAA